rnacentral:tRNA from 1 species
UCCCUGGUGGCUCAGGUGGUAAAGAAUCUGCCUUCAAUGCAGGAGACCUGGGUUCAAUCCCUGGCUCUGGAA